rnacentral:rRNA from 1 species
GUGUCAGCAGCCGCGGUAAUACGUAGGGGGCAAGCGUUGUCCGGAAUCAUUGGGCGUAAAGAGCGCGUAGGCGGUCCGGUAAGUCGGUUGUGAAAACUGGGGGCUCAACCCUCAGAGGCCGACCGAUACUGCCGGGCUAGAGUCCGGAAGAGGCGAGUGGAAUUCCUGGUGUAGCGGUGAAAUGCGCAGAUAUCAGGAGGAACACCAAUGGCGAAGGCAGCUCGCUGGGACGGUACUGACGCUGAGGCGCGAAAGCGUGGGGAGCAAACAGGAUUAGAAACCCUAGUAGUCC